UGAGGAAUAUUGGACAAUGGGCGCAAGCCUGAUCCAGCAAUGCCGCGUGCAGGAUGAAGGCCUUCGGGUUGUAAACUACUUUUGUACGGAGCGAAAAGGUCUGCCCUAAUACGGUGGGCUCAUGACGGUACCGUAAGAAUAAUCACCGGCUAACUACGUGCCAGCAGCCGCGGUAAUACGUAGGGUGCGAGCGUUAAUCGGAAUUACUGGGCGUAAAGCGUGCGCAGGCGGUUAUAUAAGACAGAUGUGAAAUCCCCGGGCUCACCCUGGGACCUGCAUUUGUGACUGUAUAGCUAGAGGACGGUAGAGGAGGAUAGAAUUCCGCGUGUAGCAGCGAAAUGCGUAGAUAUGCGGAGGAACACCGAUGGCGAAGGCAAUCCCCUGGACCUGUACUGACGCUCAUGCACGAAAGCGUGGAGAGCAAACA
rnacentral:rRNA from 1 species